rnacentral:rRNA from 1 species
GUGUCAGCAGCCGCGGUAAUACGGAGGGGGCAAGCGUUGUUCGGAAUUACUGGGCGUAAAGGGCGCGUAGGCGGCCUGUUGCGUCAGGUGUGAAAGCCCCGGGCUCAACCUGGGAUGUGCACUUGAUACGGGCGGGCUGGAAUCCGGGAGAGGAUGGUGGAAUUCCCAGUGUAGAGGUGAAAUUCGUAGAUAUUGGGAAGAACACCGAUGGCGAAGGCAGCCAUCUGGACCGGGAUUGACGCUGAGGCGCGAAAGCGUGGGGAGCAAACAGGAUUAGAAACCCCCGUAGUCC